CCAUUUUCCUUCUUUAUGCACCGAGCAUUCUUUAUCAACAGCAGCUCAAAAACACCCUAAUAUUUCCUCACUCGUGCCAUCCUCGGCUCAAUUUCUACAACCAAAACUGAUCCGCCAUCAUCCCUCGAAACAGAACCAGCAUUGCACAUAACCGUGCAAUCAGCUGACCAACAGCAACCUCCCCAACUUGGCUCGAAGCCAUAUACCGAGGCACUCUUAACAACUCAUAGCACUUUUACUCCAAUGAUGCCACAAUGUUAUAGUGAGAUUAAACUCAAGUCAUUUACAAGUUUGUGAAUACAUAGAUCAUCUAGCACUGUCAUUCUCUGCGAAUCUCGCAUUCAUUUCCAUAUCAGCUCAGUCCAUUUCUUACGCAUCCCCAAAUUCUCAAAUUUCAACACAUACCCUUCAAUUAGACCUUCUAACACACACAAGGAUCAUACCCCUCAAAAACACUCCGCAGGAGAUAACUCACCCGCUUCACCUCAUUUCGAUAUUUCAAUAUACCUUCCCACCAUCAUAUACGUUACAAAACCAAUUAGUCUUUCUGAGUCUGAGCUCACACCCUCACAUGAAAUGUACAUUUUCCCACUAAGAGGCAUGAAAAAUAUUCUUCACGCGCCCAUAACUUGGGGCUACACAUCAGACUGCAAUAGAAAACAAAGACUUACCAACUCAUCUACUAUCCAUCAGACUUCUUCGUAACUACCAAUAUCACAUAGAUACCCCUCGCAGUACU
rnacentral:lncRNA from 1 species